AGCAGCAGCAGCAAGCGGCAGCAGAGCCGGGCUAGGGAGGGGGAGGCUGAGCGCCGGCGUAGAGCGGAGCCGGGAGCCGCCGCCGCCGCCGGAGCCGGGUGUGCGUCUGGCGCUCGCUCUUUCCCCCCUUCUGCUUGCCCUUGUUUUUGGGGCUGAGUUGGGGAGAGUGGUUUGUGUGCGCGCGUGUCUCUGCCCCCUCACCCCGGCUCGCGGUGGAGGAGGAAGUCAGUGUUAACUGCCGCUUGGAGAGACUUUUUAGAUCUUCAGUCCUUCCUUAGCUGAUGCACAGUUUGAGCUUGUGAAGAGAGAACACUGGGGAUUCUGAAUGCCAAUCCAGUCACAAUCUGUAUUUUCAGUCUGUGGCAGAUUUGAUCUCUCAGCUCCUGGAACAAAUAAACAAAACUCCUCUAGACAACUUUAUAUGUUUUUGAAAUAAGAGCUCUUGACAUUGUUAAGCUGAUACACCUUUCUUUAAUAAGCCAGUGCUAUACUAUUGUAUUUAUUGGCAUAAAGCUGCCACUUUGUAACACCAUUUUUGAAUAAUCAUUAAUCCACAGGGAAUCCAUGAAGCCCAAAGGUUACAUUAUAGUAAUAAUAUAAUAAUUAAUAAUAUUGAUCUUGCCAGCAGGGAGAACUCUUUUAGGUAGUUACUACCAGACACUCCCAUUCAUACAAGACAUAAUGGGGCAAAUUCAUCCCUGGCGUAACUUCAUUUGACUUCAGUGGAGUUGCGACAGGGAUGAAUUUGCCCUACUAUCUCAACCUUGAAAUAAUGUCCCUCCCUUUCCCAAGAGUAUCUAAUGCUGAAGUCUCUGACCAGUUCUGGCCUUUCCAUCUGAGAAUAAUAUCUAGUUUUAUUAGAAAAAUUCAAACUUCUCUACCUGUGACUAUGCUACCCGAACAGUUUUAGACCUGUUAACAAUUUCUUGGAGUGGCAGUUCAUUUUCUGAUCUUUAGGAAUUACAGGGAAAUAUAAUGAGCAUCAAAGCGAAGAGCACUUCACACAUGCCCAUUCAAACACUUCUUGGAGAUGCCUACCGGAUGAGCUCCUCGCAUUCAGUGUGUGGCACAUUUCCUUUUGUCAAAUAAAUGUCUUCUUUGCAUACAUCAACCACUUUUGACUCAAUGGUCAGUGGUUAUUAAUAAUAAUACAGUAUUUCACUUCUUCAAAGUAGUGAUAAAUAAUUAAUCCUUGACUCCCCAGUAAAGUAUUUCAGUAAGUGAUAUUAUCCCCAAUUUACAGGUAGGAAAAUUAAAAAGAAAAAAAAAAGAAAAAGAAAGAUUAAGCGAUUUGCCUGAGGCCACACAUUGAAUCAGAUGUAGAGACAGGAGUUAGUGGUUCCUAAUCCUGUAUUUAGACAACACUGCCUCCUAAAGACCCAAAAAUGCCUCAUGGAAAACAUUGCUCUAAGAGAGAGUUCUAGAAUUAUAUGUAUAUAAUCUUUUUUGUUGUUUUAGAAAUAGAGGUAUUUGCAUAAAAACAAAAGGAUUUUAUUCCACACAUGAUAAGUACUUAGCUUUUCAAUAAACACGGUGAUAUCUGAUUUUUGGAACAGGCCCCAAAUUCCGUAACGAGAUAAUUAUCUCUGGAAACAAGAAAAUGCUUGACGACAAAAAUACAGAAAUGGGCGCUAAAAAGGGAACAGAAUUGCUGCCAGAGCCUCCACUUUUGUGAACAUGGAUCUCAAAGUUCAGUUUGGUCAUGUGUGGAUGUGAAAAGGGCUUGCAGAUUAGUACUUCAGUAGCUCAUAGUCAGUGGUUAACAAACAGGCUGCCCGUUGUGUGAGACUGUAUAUUUUUGAGGGGGGUUAGUCAACCUGGAUUCAAAAUACAGAAAGAGCUCCCUAGUGAUCCUGUUACCCAAAAAGAGAAAACCUAAGUGGGGAAAACAAAACCCAAACUACACUUGAUUUGGUUCUGAAAGAAAGGGUUGAAAUGCAAUGGAAGAUUACUCCAUGUUGGAUUAUUUUCAACAAUAUAAUGGCUGUUGAUUGCAGUACAAUAUUAUGACUAGCAUGAUGUUGCUAACCUGUAGGCCAUAAGAGGCAUGUACUGACUUUAACUAUAUAAUAGGUUAGUGCUCCUUCAAUAUUUUCAACAUCAAAUGAUUAGGAUGUUUCAGAACACUGAAAAACAUACAAGUUACCACUAUUACGUACUUGAAUGUUAUGCUUUGUAACAUUAUGCAGUGAGUUUCACAGAGCUUUCAUUCACGUCAAUGAAACAAGAACAUAUCACAUGCUUUUUGGCUGUGCCAUGUUGCCGAGACUGUGGCAUCACACUGCUAUCUUACGGUAUGACAGAGCACAGAUGGCAUGCCUGAAAAGCAGGUGUACAAUAUAACUUUCUUUUCACUGACAAACUGAAAUUUCCUCUCACAGUAUGUAUAAGCAGUGUCCAUCCUUGUGUUUGCUUGCUCUUAUGAUACAAGAACGAACAGAAAGUUCUACUCAUUUUGCUCAUCCCUGAAAUCUGGAGUUUCAAAGGACACUGCAAAUGAGUGUUCAUAUAUAUAUUUAUCAGUUUAUUAAUGUUGAGAGCUAUGUUUUAUCUUUUGAAAUGUCAGAGUGAUGAUUUGAGGGAAAUGGGAGCAGUUCUGUUUUAAGUAACAUGAAUGGUAUUGGAAUAAGAUUCUCUGUUACAGAUUAAAAUGGCAUAUGAAUCAUAUAGUAAUCCAUUCAUUAGUUUAUGGAUUCAGAGUCUUCCAGGGAGUGUCACAAAUCCAUAUGAUACCCCUGAGUGUUAGAUUUUUUCAUAUAGUUUUGAAAGAUGUGUAAAAAUAUAUAUAUUCAGAGAGCUUCCUAUUGACCAUCCAUCUGAAGGGAAUUGUGGAUAUAAAUUAUUCAAGCUAAUGUUGGCAUUAACUUAACAAAAAAUACUGCUGUCUAGAUCUUAAUGUGUCAGACAAUGUAAUGCAAAGCACUGUUUUUGCCAACUGCACCCAUUUUUGGUCAAACCACGCCCCUUCUUGGGUGCUGAUAUGACAAAUCUGGAGGACACACUCAUCCAGAGACUUCUUUUUGUGUAACAGAAACCACCAGGUCCUCAGUGAAGAGGCUGUUGUUAGGUGCUUAAAGGAACAUAUAAAUAAAACAAGUGUUGAUCUGACAGUA